rfam:Danio rerio chromosome 14, GRCz11 reference primary assembly.
UAUUACAUUACUCGAGUCUUAAAUAAGACCAGUUACUCACUGUAGCUAAGCAGGGCUGAGCCUGGUUAGUACCUGGAUGGGAGACCACAUGGGAAAACUAGGUUGCUGAAAUGG